GAGCAAGAACACCAAUCACAAAAAUAUAAAUAAAGCCCCGUGUUGCAAUGAAGGUUGGCAAAAAAGGCACACGGUGAUUGUCCAUGCCUAUCAAAUUGAGUUUUUAUGGUUUUGAUUAUUCCUCGAAUAAGUCACAACUUC